rnacentral:rRNA from 1 species
GACGAACGCUGGCGGCGUGCCUAACACAUGCAAGUCGAACGGGGUGAUUUCCUUCGGGAGAUCACUUAGUGGCGAACGGGUGAGUAACGCGUGAGAAACCUGCCUUUCAGUGGGGGACAACAGUUGGAAACGACUGCUAAUACCGCAUAAUGUAUUCGGGGGGCAUCCUCUGAAUACCAAAGCUGUAUGUGCUGAAAGAUGGUCUCGCGUCUGAUUAGCUAGAUGGCGGGGUAACGGCCCACCAUGGCGACGAUCAGUAGCCGGUCUGAGAGGAGGACCGGCCACAUUGGGGCUGGGGUACGGCCCAGACUACUACGGGAGGCAGCAGUGGGGUGUAUUGGGCAAUGGGGGAAACCCUGACCCAGCAACGCCGCGUGAAGGAAGAAGGCCUUCGGGUUGUAAACUUCUUUUACCAGGGACGAAGGACGUGACGGUACCUGGAGAAAAAGCAACGGCUAACUACGUGCCAGCAGCCGCGGUAAUAC